CUUCUCGGAUGGUUAGCGGCGGACGGGUGAGUAACACGUAGGCAACCUGCCUGUAAGAUCGGGAUAACUACCGGAAACGGUAGCUAAGACCGGAUAAUCGGUUUCUCCGCAUGGAGAGACUGUGAAACACGGAGCAAUCUGUGGCUUACGGAUGGGCCUGCGGCGCAUUAGCUAGUUGGUGAGGUAACGGCUCACCAAGGCGACGAUGCGUAGCCGACCUGAGAGGGUGAACGGCCACACUGGGACUGAGACACGGCCCAGACUCCUACGGGAGGCAGCAGUAGGGAAUCUUCCGCAAUGGACGCAAGUCUGACGGAGCAACGCCGCGUGAGUGAUGAAGGUUUUCGGAUCGUAAAGCUCUGUUGCCAGGGAAGAACGCCAAGGAGAGUAACUGCUCUUUGGGUGACGGUACCUGAGAAGAAAGCCCCGGCUAACUACGUGCCAGCAGCCGCGGUAAUACGUAGGGGGCAAGCGUUGUCCGGAAUUAUUGGGCGUAAAGCGCGCGCAGGCGGUUUUUUAAGUCUGGUGUUUAAUCCCGAGGCUCAACCUCGGUUCGCACCGGAAACUGGGAGACUGGAGUGCAGGAGAGGAAAGUGGAAUUCCACGUGUAGCGGUGAAAUGCGUAGAGAUGUGGAGGAACACCAGUGGCGAAGGCGACUUUCUGGCCUGUAACUGACGCUGAGGCGCGAAAGCGUGGGGAGCAAACAGGAUUAGAUACCCUGGUAGUCCACGCCGUAAACGAUGCAUGCUAGGUGUUAGGGGUUUCGAUACCCUUGGUGCCGAAGUUAACACAGUAAGCAUGCCGCCUGGGGAGUACGCUCGCAAGAGUGAAACUCAAGGAAUUGACGGGGACCCGCACAAGCAGUGAGUAUG
rnacentral:rRNA from 1 species